rnacentral:lncRNA from 1 species
UUCCACUUUCGAUUGGCAUUCUGUUGGGAAAUGAAGCGGAUAAUCUACUCUCAGUAGCACUGAUCACCAUUGGUGAGGAUUUGACAACUAUUGUCUUCUAAUAUCUUCGAAAGGUCUUUGAACCUGUGCAGAGCUCCUCUAUUGGAUAGAUAAGAGAAUUGGGGUACUUGGUUUCACCAAUUCUCUUAAGAGUUGAGAAGGCAAUGGUUACUUGACUUCGUCCGCCUCCUCAAGGGUUGUACUCCAUGCAUCGAGCUGGUUAUUGGCCUUCACCUACUCUUUGCUCACACUUCUAAAGCA